CACGUAAAUUUAUUGCUGCAAAGCUUUCGAUCGGUAAGCCCGGUUGCUCCCCACAAUACACAUAUUGGAUUAAUUUGUGCCCACUAUUAAAAAGGGUUUAGAUUUUGACCACCGUUAUCAUUGACCAGGUGUGGGAGGUAGUGGAAGUCAAAUCUUGACUUGUCUAUACUAAUUACUACACACUAGAUCUCGGCCUACAGCCUCGCCAACGAUUAUGU